rnacentral:lncRNA from 1 species
GUAAGAUAUGAAAUAUAGUAAAUCUCUUACUUAUGUGGUUUCAGAAAUAUGCAGAUGUCUAAAGGUUUGUUCCCACUAGCAUGGAACCAUGGCAGAAAAUGCAUGCAUGAUGAAAGCAUUGCAGUUUUGAAGUCAUACCAUAGCAUAAAAAUUGCUACCAUCAAGAGUCUAGAUGGAUUCAACUUCACUACAAUGGUAAAAUCUUUCGAAGUAAUAUCCAAUAAUGAAAUCAAUGGAUUUUGUGAUAUUGAAUCAUUGGCAACUUUGACUGAGUCAAGAUAACAGGAUUCUCUAUAGUUAAAUCUCAUCUUAAUCAAAU